CCAUGGUGACAGCAGUUUUCGCUCCGUUUCGUGUCAAACAACGCAAAUUUACUGUCUUGGUAGCAGAACAUGUUUCCCACUUGCAAUAAUAACCUUGGGGAAGGGAGUGAAUUGAAGGAGCAGGACGACCUCCUGUCUUGUCAUUGUCCACCCAGACUGACCAAACAAGUUUGCUAAGCCAAAGAACGUUCUUUGGCUAAGCGCCAUUUCAAGCGAGGACAGUCGUAACAAUGGAUACAGCUCCUUUGCCAAAAGAGGCAUUACAUGAUAGUUCAAAAUUAUCAGAUUUUUAUAACUGCAAGAAGUUCCCGAAGAUGCUGUUAAUGUCCUAAAAGAAAAUUUUAGAUUCGAAGUCAGAUAUAGCACAUAGGGUUAUUAUCGGAAAAAUCAACAGUCCUACACUAACCUUGUGCUCCAGCUCUCGUGUGACUUCAUGUACUCCAUUUGUCUUUUUGUGCCUUAAGUGACUAUGUGUAUGUACCUGUUUUAUGUGCUCUCUGUUUAUGCAUUUUACGCAUUGUGUUUUGUGUAUUGUUUGCCUAUGUGUUUUUAGG